rnacentral:rRNA from 1 species
GGCGUGCCUAAUACAUGCAAGUCCGAGCGAAGUUUUUCUGGUGCUUGCACUAGAAAAACUUAGCGGCGAACGGGUGAGUAACACGUAAAGAACCUGCCUCAUAGACUGGGACAACUAUUGGAAACGAUAGCUAAUACCGGAUAACAGCAUUAACUGCAUGGUUGAUGUUUGAAAGUUGGUUUUGCUAACACUAUGAGAUGGCUUUGCGGUGCAUUAGCUAGUUGGUGGGGUAAAGGCCUACCAAGGCGACGAUGCAUAGCCGACUGAGAGGGUGAUCGGCCACACUGGGACUGAGACACGGCCCAGACUCCUACGGGAGGCAGCAGUAGGGAAUCUUCCGCAAUGGGCGAAAGCCUGACGGCUCAACGCCGCGUGAGUGAAGAAGGAUUUCGGUUCG